GCUGACCAGGAAGAACGCAACCAGACCAAGCGGCCUCCGGAGCCGUGUGCGCAGGUUCGAAUCCUGCCGGGGGCA
rnacentral:tRNA from 1 species